rnacentral:rRNA from 1 species
CUGCUGCCUUCCGUAGGAGUCUGGUCCGUGUCUCAGUACCAGUGUGGGGGACCUUCCUCUCAGAACCCCUACGCAUCGUCGGUUAGGUGGGCCGUUACCCCGCCUACUGCCUAAUGCGCCGCAUGCCCAUCCCUGUCCGGCCCGAAGCCUUUCCUGCCUCCGGGAUGCCCCGGUGGCAUGUACGCGGGUUUAGCCCCGCCUUUCGGCGGGUUGUCCCCCUGACAGGGGCAGGUUGCAUACGUGUUACUCACCCGUGCGCCGGUCGCCGGCGGAGAAAG